rnacentral:tRNA from 4 species
UGGGGCGUAGCCAAGUGGUAAGGCAACGGUUUUUGGUAUCGUCAUUCGGUGGUUCGAAUCCAUCCGCCCCAGCCA